rnacentral:rRNA from 1 species
ACGCGUUGGGAGCUCUCCCAUAUGGUCGACCUGCAGGCGGCCGCGAAUUCACUAGUGAUUGGAAACAGGUGCUAAUACCGCAUAACAACUUGGACCGCAUGGUCCGAGCUUGAAAGAUGGCUUCGGCUAUCACUUUUGGAUGGUCCCGCGGCGUAUUAGCUAGAUGGUGGGGUAACGGCUCACCAUGGCAAUGAUACGUAGCCGACCUGAGAGGGUAAUCGGCCACAUUGGGACUGAGACACGGCCCAAACUCCUACGGGAGGCAGCAGUAGGGAAUCUUCCACAAUGGACGAAAGUCUGAUGGAGCAACGCCGCGURAGUGAAGAAGGGUUUCGGCUCGUAAAACUCUGUUGUUAAAGAAGAACAUAUCUGAGAGUAACUGUUCAGGUAUUGACGGUAUUUAACCAGAAAGCCACGGCUAACUACGUGCCAGCAGCCGCGGUAAUACGAUAAUCGAAUUCCCGCGGCCGCC